rnacentral:rRNA from 1 species
GGGCCCGCACAAGCAGCGGAGCAUGUGGUUUAAUUCGAAGCAACGCGAAGAACCUUACCAGGUCUUGACAUACUUUGACCACUUAAGAGAUUAAGUUUCCCUUCGGGGCAAAGAUACAGGUGGUGCAUGGUUGUCGUCAGCUCGUGUCGUGAGAUGUUGGGUUAAGUCCCGCAACGAGCGCAACCCCUAUGUUUAGUUACUAACAUUCAGUUGAGGACUCUAGACAGACUGCCCGGGAAACCGGGAGGAAGGUGGGGAUGACGUCAAAUCAUCAUGCCCCUUACGACCUGGGCUACACACGUGCUACAAUGGUAUGUACAGAGGGUUGCGAAGCAGUGAUGCCAAGCUAAUCUCAAAAAACNUAUCUCAGUUCGGAUUGUAGGCUGCAACUCGCCUACAUGAAGUUGGAGUUGCUAGUAAUCGCGAAUCAGAAUGUCG